AAGAGUGUAGUAUAAAUUACAUUUCAGUUACAUUGAAAAGAUCCUUACGAUAGGCGCUCUUA
rnacentral:tRNA from 1 species